UGGGGAAUCUUGCACAAUGGGCGAAAGCCUGAUGCAGCAACGCCGCGUGCGGGAAGAAGGCCCUCGGGUUGUAAACCGCUUUCAGAAGGAACGAAACUGACGGUACUUUCAGAAGAAGGUGCGGCCAACUACGUGCCAGCAGCCGCGGUGACACGUAGGCACCAAGCGUUGUCCGGAUUUAUUGGGCGUAAAGAGCUCGUAGGCGGUUCAGUAAGUCGGGUGUGAAAACUUUGGGCUUAACCCAAAGCGUGCAUCCGAUACUGCUGUGACUUGAGUACGGUAGGGGAGCGGGGAAUUCCUAGUGUAGCGGUGAAAUGCGCAGAUAUUAGGAGGAACACCGGUGGCGAAGGCGCCGCUCUGGGCCGAAACUGACGCUGAGGAGCGAAAGCAUGGGGAGCAAACAGGAUUAGAUACCCGCGUAGUCCCUGAGCGGGCUGGCAAGGCGCAU
rnacentral:rRNA from 1 species